GGAGAGGUGGCAGAGUGGUCGAAUGUACCUGACUCGAAAUCAGGAGUACCGUUACCGGUACCGUGGGUUCGAAUCCCACCCUCUCCGCCA
rnacentral:tRNA from 1 species